rnacentral:rRNA from 1 species
UACGUAGGUGGCGAGCGUUAUCCGGAAUUACUGGGCGUAAAGCGCACGCAGGCGGCGCAUCAAGUUCGACGUGAAAGCUCCCGGCUUAACUGGGAGAGGUCGUUGAAGACUGAUGUGCUUGAGGCAAGGAGAGGGGUGUAGAAUUCCCGGUGUAGUGGUGGAAUGCGUAGAUAUCGGGGGGAAUACCAGUGGCGAAAGCGGCACCCUAGCCUUAGCCUGACGCUCAGGUGCGAAAGCGUGGGGAGCGAACGGG